rnacentral:rRNA from 1 species
UACGUAGGUGGCAAGCGUUGUCCGGAAUUACUGGGUGUAAAGCGCGCGUAGGCGGUAGGCCAAGUCUGCUGUGAAAUCGCCCGGCUCAACUGGGCGCGGUCGGUGGAAACUGGUCAACUGGAGGACGGUAGAGGCGAGUGGAAUUCCCGGUGUAGUGGUGAAAUGCGUAGAGAUCGGGAGGAACACCGGUGGCGAAGGCGGCAUUCUGGACCGAUAUUGACGCUGAGGAGCGAAAGCCAGGGGAGCAAACGGG